rnacentral:lncRNA from 1 species
CUUGUGGAGUCCAAAAGGACCAGAACCAUUUCACAUUUACAGUGACAGCAAGUAAUUUGAAGACACAACAGUGGCGACGCUAGUAACAAUAUCAUAAAAGCAUGGGUUGGUCAUCCAAACAGAAGAUCAGUUGAUAAACAGAGAGAGGAAUGUGAAAACCAACCUUUUUAUGGUAGCAGGUAGUGAUGGCAGUGCUCUAUCUUCUUUGCAGAUUUUUCUCAUGAAUAUCACUGCUAAAUCCAGUUUUCAACUCAAUAAAACCGAAAGCGAAGGGGCAUAUCAUCAGUUCCUCCAAACUUUCUACCCAGCUUCAGUAUUUG